rnacentral:rRNA from 1 species
UACAGAGGUCUCAAGCGUUGUUCGGAUUCAUUGGGCGUAAAGGGUGCGUAGGCGGCGCGGUAAGUCGGGUGUGAAAUCUUGGAGCUUAACUCCGAAACUGCAUUCGAUACUGCCGUGCUUGAGGACUGGAAAGGAGACUGGAAUUUACGGUGUAGCGGUGAAAUGCGUAGAUAUCGUAAGGAAGACCAGUGGCGAAGGCGGGUCUCUGGACAGUAACUGACGCUGAGGAGCGAAAGCGUGGGGAGCGAACAGG